CACUGCCGAGAAAAGCCUCUAGAUAGAAAAUAGGUGCCCGUACCGCAAACCGACACAGGUAGUCAAGAUGAGAAUUCUAAGGUGAGCGAGCGAACUCUCGUUAAGGAACUCGGCAAAAUGACCCCGUAACUUCGGGAGAAGGGGUGCUCUUUAGGGUUAACGCCCAGAAGAGCCGCAGUGAAUAGGCCCAAGCGACUGUUUAUCAAAAACACAGGUCUCUGCUAAACCGUAAGGUGAUGUAUAGGGGCUGACGCCUGCCCGGUGCUGGAAGGUUAAGAGGAGUGGUU
rnacentral:rRNA from 1 species